rnacentral:rRNA from 1 species
AGAGUGGCGGACGGGUGAGCAACGCUUGGGAAUCUACCUCGUAGCGGGGGACAACCCGGGGAAACCCGGGCUAAUACCGCAUACGUCCUACGGGAGAAAGCAGGGGACCGCAAGGCCUUGCACUAUGAGAUGAGCCCAAGUCCGAUUAGCUAGUUGGUGAGGUAAAGGCUCACCAAGGCGACGAUCGGUAGCUGGUCUGAGAGGACGACCAGCCACACUGGGACUGAGACACGGCCCAGACUCCUACGGGAGGCAGCAGUGGGGAAUAUUGCACAAUGGGCGAAAGCCUGAUGCAGCAACGCCGCGUGCGCGAUGAAGGCCUUCGGGUCGUAAAGCGCUUUUCGGGGGGAUGAGGAAGGACAGUACCCCCGGAAUAAGUCACGGCUAACUACGUGCCAGCAGCCGCGGUAAAACGUAGGUGGCGAGCGUUAUCCGGAUUUACUGGGCGUAAAGCGCGUGCAGGUGGCUCGAUAAGUCGGGCGUGAAAUCUCUCGGCUCAACUGGGAGAGGCCGUCCGAUACUAUCGGGCUUGAGGGCAGUAGAGGGAGGUGGAAUUCCCGGUGUAGUGGUGAAAUGCGUAGAUAUCGGGAGGAACACCUGUGGCGAAAGCGGCCUCCUGGACUGCCCCUGACACUCAGACGCGAAAGCUAGGGGAGCGAACGGGAUUAGAAACCCCGGUAGUCCUAGCCGUAAACGAUGCUCACUAGGUGUCGGCGGACUAAACCCUGCCGGUGCCGAAGCCAACGCGAUAAGUGAGCCGCCU